GCCGGGCAUGGUGGCGCAUGCCUGUAAUUCCAGCUACUUGGGAGGCUGAGGCAGGAGAAUCGCUUGAACCCAGGAGGCAGAGAUUGCAGUGAGCUGAGAUCGUGCCAUUGCACUCCAGCCUGGGGAACAAGAGUGAAACUCCAUCUCAAAAAAAAAAAAUUGACACACUUUGGGAGGCCAAGGCUGGCAGAUCACCUGAGGUCAGGAGUUUGAGACCCACCUGGCCAACAUGGUGAAACCCUGUCUCU
rnacentral:sRNA from 1 species